CGACGACGUUGAUAGGCCGGGUGUGUAAGCGCAGCGAUGCGUUGAGCUAACCGGUACUAAUGAACCGUGAGGCUUAACCUUA
rnacentral:rRNA from 1 species